UACAGAGGUCUCAAGCGUUGUUCGGAUUCAUUGGGCGUAAAGGGUGCGUAGGCGGCGCGGUAAGUCGGGUGUGAAAUCUUGGAGCUUAACUCCGAAACUGCAUUCGAUACUGCCGUGCUUGAGGACUGGAGAGGAGACUGGAAUUUACGGUGUAGCGGUGAAAUGCGUAGAUAUCGUAAGGAAGACCAGUGGCGAAGGCGGCAUCCUGGACCGAUACUGACGCUGAGGAGCGAAAGCCAGGGGAGCAAACGGG
rnacentral:rRNA from 1 species